rnacentral:rRNA from 1 species
GAUGAACGCUGGCGGCGUGCCUAAUACAUGCAAGUCGAGCGACCGGACGAGAAGCUUGCUUCUCUGAUGUUAGCGGCGGACGGGUGAGUAACACGUGGAUAACCUACCUAUAAGACUGGGAUAACUUCCGGAAACCGGAGCUAAUACCGGCUAAUAUUUUGAACCGCAUGGUUCAAAAGUGAAAGCCCGUCUUGCUGUCACUUAUCGAUGGAUCCGCGCUGCAUUAGCUAGUUGGUAAGGUAACGGCUUACCAAGGCAACGAUGCAUAGCCGACCGGAGAGGGUGAUCGGCCACACUGGAACUGAGACACGGUCCAGACUCCUACGGGAGGCAGCAGUAGGGAAUCUUGCGCAAUGGGCGAAAGCCUGACGGAGCAACGCCGCGUGAGUGAUGAAGGUCUUCGGAUCGUAAAACACUGUUAUUAGGGAAGAACAUAUGUGUAAGUAACUGUGCACAUCUUGACGGUACCUAAUCAGAAAGCCACGGCUAACUACGUG